UCGGGUUGUAAAGCACUUUUGUCCGGAAAGAAAACUUCUGCCCUAAUACGGCGGGAGGAUGACGGUACCGGAAGAAUAAGCACCGGCUAACUACGUGCCAGCAGCGCGGUAAUCGUAGGGUGCGAGCGUUAAUCGGAAUUACUGGGCGUAAAGCGUGCGCAGGCGGUUCGUUAAGACAGAUGUGAAAUCCCCGGGCUUAACCUGGGAACUGCAUUUGUGACUGGCGAGCUAGAGUAUGGCAGAGGGGGGUAGAAUUCCACGUGUAGCAGUGAAAUGCGUAGAGAUGUGGAGGAAUACCGAUGGCGAAGGCAGCCCCCUGGGCCAAUACUGACGCUCAUGCACGAAAGUGUGGGGAGCAAACAGGAUUAGAUACCCUGGUAGUCCACGCCCUAAACGAUGUCAACUAGUUGUUGGGUCUUCAUUGACUUAGUAACGUAGCUAACGCGUGAAGUUGACCGCCUGGGGAGUACGGUCGCAAGAUUAAAACUCAAAGGAAUUGACGGGGACCCGCACAAGCGGUGGAUGAUGUGGAUUAAUUCGAUGCAACGCGAAAAACCUUACCUACCCUUGACAUGGUCGGAACCCUGCUG
rnacentral:rRNA from 1 species